UCCAAACAUGUCAUUCAAGUUUUUUUAUAUGAGCCACCGCAAAUCCACUCGACUGCACCACAACACUCAGACUAGUAGUUUAGAAUAGUCUAACCAUCGGCUUUGAUACCACUUAUUAGAAAGUUUUAGUCCUAACGCAAACCCAUCUGAGUCUAAGGAUGUGACAUAUCUAAUAAAAUUCAUUUGAUCUAAAAACUUAAACAGCUCUCAAUUAAAAAUUAAAAAUUAUACUCGUACAUUAAAAAUUGCAUCAAUUAUUAUCCUACACUUUAUCAUCAUCUCAAAUAAAUCCAAAAAUUAAAAAAAUUAGCAAAUUAGACUGCAAAACUCCACUAAAACAAAUUGGCAUAUCACAUUAUUUCACUUCUCAACAUAUAUUU
rnacentral:lncRNA from 1 species